AGAGUUUGAUCCUGGCUCAGAACGAACGCUGGCGGCAUGCUUAAGACAUGCAAGUCGAACGAUAUCUUUGAUAGAGUGGCGCACGGGUGAGUAACGCGUGGGUAUCUACCCUUUUGUUCGGGAUAACGAUUGGAAACGAUCGCUAAUACCGAAUAUUCCCUCCGGGGAAAAGGUCCGCCGCAAAAGGAGGAGCCCGCGUCCGAUUAGUUUGUUGGUGGGGUAAAGGCCUACCAAGACUACGAUCGGUAGCUGGUCUGAGAGGAUGAUCAGCCACACUGGGACUGAGACACGGCCCAGACUCCUACGGGAGGCAGCAGUCGGGAAUAUUGGACAAUGGGGGAAACCCUGAUCCAGCAAUGCCGCGUGUGUGAUGAAGGCCCUAGGGUUGUAAAACACUUUAAUUGGUGAAGAUGAUGACGGUAACCAAAGAAUAAGCCCCGGCUAACUUCGUGCCAGCAGCCGCGGUAAUACGAAGGGGGCGAGCGUUGUUCGGAAUUACUGGGCGUAAAGGGAGCGCAGGCGGUUUAUUUAGUUAGGCGUGAAAUCCCUAGGCUUAACCUAGGAACUGCGCUUAAUACUGAUAAACUAGAAAACAGGAGAGGGUAGUGGAAUUCCCAGUGUAGAGGUGAAAUUCGUAGAUAUUGGGAAGAACACCAGUGGCGAAAGCGGCUACCUAGCCUGAUUUUGACGCUGAGGCUCGAAAGCGUGGGGAGCAAACAGGAUUAGAUACCCUGGUAGUCCACGCCGUAAACGAUGACUGCUAGAUGUUGGAAGGUUACCUUUCAGUGUCGCCGCUAACGCAUUAAGCAGUCCGCCUGGGAAGUACGGUCGCAAGAUUAAAACUCAAAGGAAUUGACGGGGGCCCGCACAAGCGGUGGAGCAUGUGGUUUAAUCCGACCUGGGAAGUACGGUCGCAAGAUUAAAACUCAAAGGAAUUGACGGGGGCCCGCACAAGCGGUGGAGCAUGUGGAGCGAAGAACCUUACCAGGGUUUGACAUCCUGCGAACCUCUUAGAAAUUUGAGGGUGCCUUCGGGAAUGCAGUGACAAGAACCUUACCAGGCCUUGACAUGGGUAGUUUGGUUAUUGGAGACAAUUUCCUUCAGUUCGGCUGGCUACCACACAGGUGCUGCACGGCUGUCGUCAGCUCGUGUCGUGAGAUGUUGGGUUAAGUCCCGCAACGAGCGCAACCCUCAUUUUUAGUUGCCAUCGGUUUGGCCGGGCACUCUAAAGAAACUGCCUGCGACGAGCAGGAGGAAGGCGAGGACGACGUCAAGUCAUCAUGGCCCUUAUGGACUGGGCUACACACGUGCUACAAUGGCGGUAACAAUGGGCAGCGACAGGGUGACCUUGAGCAAAUCCCAAAAAGCCGUCCCA
rnacentral:rRNA from 1 species